rnacentral:rRNA from 1 species
UACGUAGGGUGCAAGCGUUAAUCGGAAUUACUGGGCGUAAAGCGUGCGCAGGCGGUUGUGCAAGGCAGGUGUGAAAUCCCCGGGCUUAACCUGGGAAUGGCAUUUGUGACUGCACGGCUAGAGUGUGUCAGAGGGGGGUAGAAUUCCACGUGUAGCAGUGAAAUGCGUAGAUAUGUGGAGGAAUACCGAUGGCGAAGGCAGCCCCCUGGGAUAACACUGACGCUCAUGCACGAAAGCGUGGGGAGCAAACAGG